rnacentral:misc_RNA from 1 species
UCGUGACCCGUACAAAACAGACCGUGCACGCGUCAUCUAUCCGCCAGCGGCGGCAUCGUCCGUUGCUUGGCCAAAAUCCUUGAUAACCUCCUCUCCUUGGAGGGGGGGCUCGGGGUAAAAGAACCUACGGCGCCUAAGGCGUCAAGGAACACUGUGCCUAACCCGGGGACGCGGCUGGCUUGCUAGCCGUCCCUCGUGUUGCAAUGCUAUUUAAUCCACACGACUCUCGGCAACGGAUAUCUCGGCUCUCGCAUCGAUGAAGAACGUAGCGAAAUGCGAUACCUGGUGUGAAUUGCAGAAUCCCGCGAACCAUCGAGUCUUUGAACGCAAGUUGCGCCCGAGGCCACCUGGCCGAGGGCACGCCUGCCUGGGCGUCACGCCAAAUACGCUUCCACACCUUCUUUGGGUAGUGGGAUGCGGCAUUUGGCCCCCCGUCACGCAAGAGGCGGUGGGCCGAAGUUGCGGCUGCCGGCGUAUCGUGUCGGACACAGCGCGUGGUGGGCGACCUCGCUUUACUUACCGUAGUGCAUCCGGCCCGUACCGACGUGAUGGCCUUGAUUGACCCUAAAAACAGAGCGUUUGACGCUUCGACC